rnacentral:rRNA from 1 species
AGUGAACGCUGGCGGUAGGCCUAACACAUGCAAGUCGAACGGCAGCACAGUAAGAGCUUGCUCUUACGGGUGGCGAGUGGCGGACGGGUGAGGAAUACAUCGGAAUCUACUUUUUCGUGGGGGAUAACGUAGGGAAACUUACGCUAAUACCGCAUACGACCUACGGGUGAAAGCAGGGGAUCUUCGGACCUUGCGCGAUUGAAUGAGCCGAUGUCGGAUUAGCUAGUUGGCGGGGUAAAGGCCCACCAAGGCGACGAUCCGUAGCUGGUCUGAGAGGAUGAUCAGCCACACUGGAACUGAGACACGGUCCAGACUCCUACGGGAGGCAGCAGUGGGGAAUAUUGGGCAAUGGGCGGAAACCUGAUCCAGCCAUACCGCGUGGGUGAAGAAGGCCUUCGGGUUGUAAAGCCCUUUUGUUGGGAAAGAAGAGCAGCAGGUUAAUACCCCGCUGUUCUGACGGUACCCAAAGAAUAAGCACCGGCUAACUUCGUG